rnacentral:tRNA from 1 species
GGGUGGAGCAGUGGUAGCUCGUCGGGCUCAUAACCCGAAGGUCGCAGGUUCAAAUCCUGUCCCC